AUAGCGUAUAUUAAAGUUGUUGCAGUUAAAAAGCUCGUAGUUGAACCUUGAGCCUGGCUGGCCGGUCCGCCUCACCGCAUGCACUGGUCCGGCCGGGUUUUUCCUUCUGGGGAGCCGCAUGCCCUUCACUGGGUGUGUCGGGGAACCAGGACUUUUACUUUGAAAAAAUUAGAGUGUUCAAAGCAGGCCUAUGCUCGAAUACAUUAGCAUGGAAUAAUAGAAUAGGACGUGUGGUUCUAUUUUGUUGGUUUCUAGGACCGAAGUAAUGAUUAAUAGGGAUAGUUGGGGGCAUUAGUAUUUAAUUGUCAGAGGUGAAAUUCUUGGAUUUAUUAAAGACUAACUACUG
rnacentral:rRNA from 1 species